AACGAACGCUGGCGGCAUGCCUAACACAUGCAAGUCGAACGAGACCUUCGGGUCUAGUGGCGCACGGGUGCGUAACGCGUGGGAACCUGCCCUUAGGUUCGGAAUAACUCCCCGAAAGGGGUGCUAAUACCGGAUAAUGUCUUCGGACCAAAGAUUUAUCGCCUUUGGAUGGGCCCGCGUUGGAUUAGCUAGUUGGUAGGGUAAAAGCCUACCAAGGCGACGAUCCAUAGCUGGUCUGAGAGGAUGAUCAGCCACACUGGGACUGAGACACGGCCCAGACACCUCCGGGAGGAGGAGGUGGGAAAUAUUGAAAAUGGGCCGAAGCCUUGAUCCAGCAUUGCCGGGUAAGUGAUGAGGGCCUUAGGUUUGUAAACCCUUUUUCCCCGGGAUGAUACUGCCGGUCCCGGGAGAAAAAGCCCCGCCUACCUCCGU
rnacentral:rRNA from 1 species